AGUGAACGCUGGCGGCGUGCCUAACACAUGCAAGUCGAGCGGAUCCUGGCAGCGUAUCGUCAGGGUUAGCGGCAAACGGGUGAGUAACACGUAGGUAAUCUGCCUUCAGAAGGGGGAUAACCCCGCGAAAGCGGGGCUAAUACCGCGUAAGACCACGGUCCCGCAUGGGACAGGGGUUAAAUCCACGACGCAAGUCGUGGGUCUGAAGAGGAGCCUGCGGCCUAUCAGCUAGUUGGCGGGGUAACGGCCCACCAAGGCGAAGACGGGUAGCCGGCCU
rnacentral:rRNA from 1 species